rnacentral:rRNA from 1 species
UACGGAGGGUGCGAGCGUUGUCCGGAAUCACUGGGCGUAAAGGGCGCGUAGGCGGCCUGGUAAGUAGGGGGUGAAAUCCUGCGGCUUAACCGCAGGGCUGCCUUCUAAACUGUCAGGCUGGAGCACAGUAGAGGCAGGUGGAAUUCCCGGUGUAGCGGUGGAAUGCGUAGAGAUCGGGAAGAACAUCAGUGGCGAAGGCGGCCUGCUGGGCUGUUGCUGACGCUGAGGAGCGAAAGCAUGGGGAGCGAACAGG